rnacentral:rRNA from 1 species
GUUUAACACAUGCAAGUCGAACGGAAACGAAAAUAGCUUGCUAUUUGGCGUCGAGUGGCGAACGGGUGAGUAACGCGUAGGAAUCUACCCAGUAGAGGGGGAUAGCCCGAAGAAAUUCGGAUUAAUACCGCAUAAUCUCUACGGAGUAAAGAAGGCCUCUUUACAAUGCUUUUACUAUUGGAUGAGCCUGCGUUAGAUUAGUUAGUUGGUAGGGUAAAAGCCUACCAAGGCGACGAUCUAUAGCUGGUUUUACGAGAAUGAUCAGCCACACUGGAACUGAGACACGGUCCAGACUCCUACGGGAGGCAGCAGUGAAGAAUAUUGGACAAUGGGGGAAACCCUGAUCCAGCAAUGUUGCGUGUGUGAAGAAGGUCCGAGGAUUGUAAAGCACUUUCAGUAAGCAAGAAAAAUGUAAAUCUAAUAGAUUUGCAUGUUGACCACUUAUAGAAGAAGCACCGGCUAACUCCGUGCCAGCAGCCGCGGUAAUACGGAGGGUGCGAGCGUUAAUCGGAAUUACUGGGCGUAAAGGGUAAGUAGGCGGUUUAUAAAGUCACAUGUGAAAGCCCUAGGCUUAACCUAGGA